GCCUGGAAUGGUUGGGUUGGGAAAAGUGGGAAGAGCUCCAAAUCCACCUGAAGGAAGGCCUGGAAUGGUUGGGUUGGGCACCCUUGGGAAAGGUGGGAAAAGCUCCACAUCCACCUGCAGGAAGAACCAAAAAGCCCUGAAAUGGUUGGAUUUGGCACAUUUGGGAAAGAUUUGUUGCUGGAGCAGCUCCUGUCUUCACCCAAAAUCCAGAAUAUUCCCCAAAGGUAACCUGGGAAUCACAGGAGCACCUCAGCGCCCUUCCUGCACCAAAAUAUUCCCGGCAUUAAAAAGCUGUUGUAAUUGCUCACCUGA